UACGUAGGGUGCAAGCGUUAAUCGGAAUUACUGGGCGUAAAGCGUGCGCAGGCGGUUCGCUAAGACAGAUGUGAAAUCCCCGGGCUUAACCUGGGAAUGGCAUUUGGGACUGCAAGGCUGGAGUGCGGCAGAGGAGACUGGAAUUCCUGGUGUAGCAGUGAAAUGCGUAGAUAUCAGGAGGAAUACCGAUGGCGAAGGCAGGUCUCUGGGCUGACACUGACGCUCAUGCACGAAAGCGUGGGGAGCAAACAGG
rnacentral:rRNA from 1 species